rnacentral:rRNA from 1 species
ACACGACUACAUUAGAUACCCGCGUAGUCCUAGCCGUAAACGAUACUCGCUAGGUGUCGGCCACGGUGCGACCGUUGUCGGUGCCGUAGGGAAGCCGUGAAGCGAGCCACCUGGGAAGUACGGCCGCAAGGCUGAAACUUAAGGAAUUGGCGGGGGAGCACCACAACGGGGGGAGCUUGCGGUUUAAUUGGAUUCAACGCCGGAAAUCUUACCGGGACCGACAGCAACAUGAAGGCCAGGCUGAAGACUUUGCCGGAUUAGCUG